rnacentral:antisense_RNA from 1 species
UCUGCGUGGCCACGGGCAGCACGAAUUGCAGCAUCUUACCCAUGUCGUUGCAGGCGUUAUCCCGAGCCUCGUCCAUGCGCACUGCGUUCUCCGGGGCGGAGAACGCCUGGAUCACCUCCGCCAGGACCACUGCGCGCCAGAAGCAUCCCAGGGAGGCGUCCCGGGUAGGCGUCGGAGAACGGACAGCGGGCCCAGCGGAGAGCGCAAGGAAUUAGUGGAUUGAGGCUGUAGGUAACCCAAUAAGAUCCCAAGUCUUGGGGGCAAGCGCCCCACUUAAAUGACGGUACCCGGCGUCCCCUACGGUACCCGGCGUCUCCUACCCCAUUUUCCCGGCGGACAUAGCCAGGUUUGUCGCCCCACAUCCUCCGCCCGCAUCCUCCCCAGACCAGCAGCCCAUGCCUUGACUAGGAUGAUUCUCACCCUUCGCUUGCUCAGCGCUCAGGGCCGCCGGUUGGGUCGAGGCGGACGCCAUAGGGCGUCUGAAGCUCUAGGUUCAGCGGAUGUAAAUGGAAAACUCACGAAAAAAGAGCCGCGUCCUACCACCGUUCCCAAAGCCAGCAGGGGUGGAAAGGAAACAGCAUCCGGCGCAGCCGGAAGCCUUCAGGCGUGGCCCAAACCUUCAUACCCGACGUUUACAACAGCAUUUAGACCAACAAAACUAUCCAUCGAGUAGCUAAUUCGUGCACAGUGAAAAUAAUCUAUUAUUAAAAACAGACUGCAUAAGAGGGGCUUUCCAGUAAACAAACCAGAAAGCCUACUAGACAAAUUCUAAAAGAGCUGUAACACUGCUGCGCAUGUGUUUGGAGAGAAGAUGGGAUAUGCAGGAACUCCACAUUUGGUGAGGGUGAGCUUAGGUGACCUUUUUUCUUGUUCCCACUACUGUAUAAACAACGACGCAUGUGGUAACUUUCAGUAGGAAAAAUAAUAUUCUAAGGAACUUACUUAAGUCAUUCAUUUCUAGAGUUCGCGAACAUUUGUUCUCAGCCCAUGCAAAUGAGUUCGGUGCUGAUUGGUUGAGAAAGCAGCCAGUCAGAGCCCCUUCGUUGUUGUUAAGCCCGGAGACCUGGAUUCGGCAGUAAAGGCCCAGAGCAAAAGCC